rnacentral:rRNA from 1 species
UACGUAGGUGGCAAGCGUUGUCCGGAUUUACUGGGCGUAAAGAGCGCGCAGGCGGUCGGAUAAGUCGAAUGUGAAAGCCCCCGGCUUAACUGGGGAGGGUCAUUCGAUACUGUUCGACUGGAAGGCAGGAGAGGGAAGCGGAAUUCCCGGUGUAGCGGUGAAAUGCGUAGAUAUCAGGAGGAACACCUGUGGUGUAGACAGCUUACUGGACCAUAACUGACGCUGAGGCACGAAAGCGUGGGUAGCAAACAGG